ensembl:lncRNA
CUGAAAUGUUUCUGGUGACUGAUUCAUGCUUGUUAAGUUGUUUAUGUACUUUUAAUUCACACAGUUCUUGCUGUGUUCGUUCUUGAUUUUAAAGCAACACACUGAGUUUGGCACAAUCCAGAAUGGAUUUCACCAUUACCACAGAAAAACGUUAGCCUCUGCCUGGAGCUCCGACACAGUCAUAAUUAAACAGCUAUAAAUUACACACUAAGAGACUGAGGACAGACGAGCCCCCCCAAGCUGACACAUUUUUUUACCAGCUAAUAGUUUAAUGGGAGUUUCAGAUGAACAUUCUAUCCUUAAAGUAGCUGAAAUGCUUUAUCAUCAUUUGGAUUCAAAUCUGUGUGCCAUCAGGACAGGAUCUGGAUCACUGUCGGGCCACGCGUUUCCACCUGUUCUGUAACAGCUGAAGAAUAUAUCCAGUAAUAGGUGCAAAAUUUUCAUUCGAUUUUCACUAAAGCAGCAUAAUCACCUUUUAGAGUGUUUUUUUUUUUUUGUGUCAUAAUCACACCUUUGACACCUUCAAGUUUAGGCGGCUCACUAGGUCCUGGAAGCAAGUGCAUGAAAUGACACCUUUGAUACGUGAUUUGCACAAGUAUGACAUAUUUCUGAAUCAACAACCUUUUAUGUUCUUACACAGGGCUUUCAUAAGUUUCAUAAGGGAUGCGUCAUUGUAGUGACUUUUAUCUUGCAGCAGCAAAGCAUUUCUCUGCUGCCGUUUUCAACCCAGUCUGGAGGAUUCCAUCAAGCUAAGAUUAUUUUUGGAUAUUAUCAUCUUGCAAAAGAUGUAAGUAGCUUCAGCUGCACUAUGCAGUGUUUCUGAACCCACCUCUACCAGCCUUUCACACUCUUAUCAGUGCUCCUUUUUAUUUGUGCCAUUUUACCUUAAUUUAGAUAGGACAGCAGUUACACUGGACUGCAGUAAAGUUUGUUAGAUUUUUUUUAUGUCUAAAUAGUCAAGUCACCUUCUCUAUUUCUAUAGCGCUUUAUACAAUACUGAUUGUGUCAAAGCAGCUUUACAGUGUUAAACAGGAAAAACAUUUACAUUUACAUUUAGUAAUUUUUAGUGCCGUGUUUGAUGAUGUCAGUGUUCUUUCUUGUCUCAUGACUGAAAGCAAAUGGACAAGUUUGCAUAUGUAGUGUGAUGAGAGAUUUACAGUGAAUUAUGGUUUCAGUUAGUUCUGUUCCUCACACAAUUCCUAUGAAUUUAGAAGACUUAGUAAGGAGUUGUCUAGAGAUAUGAUGCAACUUUUGAGGAAAAGUCACAGGUUUGGGACAACAUGAUAUAUGUACAUUUUUGAGUGAGCUAUUUAACAGAAUCAUGUAAAAUGAGUGAUGAGUAAGGAUUUGUUUUCUAAAGCUAACAAAACAUCAGUGAUUUCGUGAGCCUCGUCUGUUAAUAGUAUAUAAAAGUCGAUCCACAAGCUUCCAUCAAUCAAUAAAUCUUUUUUUUUUUACAUUUUUAAAAAAAAUCAUUACAGCAUUCAUCCAUAAGGAACUCAGUGGUUGGAGUUCAGAGAGGACAUGUCCCUUUAAUGUCUGGUUCUGGAAUGUUCUGCAGCCCCAGAUCUGCUCGUUUGGAUGGUCUGCAUGCUGAGGUCACCGUAGCCACCAGAUCCAGUCUGUAUCCAAGUCAGAGAGUCUAACCUCUACAGCCCUGAAAGACAGUGGAGACCAG